AAUGCAGUGGUGUUUACAACUAAUGGAUCACAACCAUUUACAGAUUUCUUUGUUCCUUCUCCAUUCCCACCGCUCCACU
rnacentral:sRNA from 1 species